CCUACGGGAGGCAGCAGUGGGGGAUAUUGCACAAUGGGGGGAACCCUGAUGCAGCGACGCCGCGUGUGGGAAGACGGUCCUCUGGAUUGUAAACCACUGUCCCCAGGGACGAAAAUGACGGUACCUGGGGAGGAAGCUCCGGCUAACUACGUGCCAGCAGCCGCGGUAAUACGUAGGGAGCGAGCGUUGUCCGGAAUUACUGGGUGUAAAGGGAGCGUAGGCGGAAGAACAAGUUGGUUGUGAAAUCCCUCGGCUCAACUGAGGAACUGCAACCAAAACUAUUCUCCUUGAGUGUCGGAGAGGAAAGUGGAAUUCCUAGUGUAGCGGUGAAAUGCGUAGAUAUUAGGAGGAACACCAGUGGCGAAGGCGACUUUCUGGACGAUAACUGACGUUGAGGCACGAAAGUGUGGGGAGCAAACAGGAUUAGAUACCCGAGUAGUC
rnacentral:rRNA from 1 species